rnacentral:rRNA from 1 species
GGUGAACGCUGGCGGCGUGCUUAAGACAUGCAAGUCGAACGGCAGUCUUCGGACUGUAGUGGCGCACGGGUGAGUAACGCGUAACUGACCUACCCCAAAGUCGCGGAUAACGAUUCGAAAGAAUCGCUAAUACGUGAUGUGCUGUCAGAUUGUGUUCUGCCAGUAAAGAUUGAUUGCUUUGGGAUGGGGUUGCGUUCCAUCAGCUAGUUGGUGGGGUAAAGGCCCACCAAGGCGACGACGGAUAGCCGGCCUGAGAGGGUGGCCGGCCACAGGGGCACUGAGACACGGGUCCCACUCCUACGGGAGGCAGCAGUCAGGAAUCUUCCACAAUGGGCGAAAGCCUGAUGGAGCGACGCCGCGUGAGGGAUGAAGGUCUUCGGAUCGUGAACCUCUGAGUCAGGGACGAAAGACACUUCGGUGGGAUGACGGUACCUGAGUAAUAGCACCGGCUAACUCCGUGCCAGCAGCCGCCGUAAGAC